CCUACGGGGGGCAGCAGUGGGGAAUAUUGGGCAAUGGGCGCAAGCCUGACCCAGCAACGCCGCGUGAAGGAAGAAGGCUCUCGGGUUGUAAACUUCUUUUAUCAGGGACGAAGCAAGUGACGGUACCUGAUGAAUAAGCCACGGCUAACUACGUGCCAGCAGCCGCGGUAAUACGUAGGUGGCAAGCGUUAUCCGGAUUUACUGGGUGUAAAGGGCGUGUAGGCGGGAAGGCAAGUCAGAUGUGAAAACCAUGGGCUCAACCUGUGGCCUGCAUUUGAAACUGUUUUUCUUGAGUACUGGAGAGGCAGAUGGAAUUCCUGGUGUAGCGGUGAAAUGCGUAGAUAUUAGGAGGAACACCAGUGGCGAAGGCGGUCAGCUGGACAACAACUGACGCUGAGGCGCGAAAGCGUGGGGAGCAAACAGGAUUAGAUACCCGAGUAGUC
rnacentral:rRNA from 1 species